GACAGACAGGUCUACAGACAGAGCUACAGACAGACAGGUCUACAGACAGAGCUACAGACAGAGCUACAGACAGGUCUACAGACAGACAAGUCUACAGACAGAACUAUAGACAGACAGGCCUACAGACAGGCCUACAGAUAGACAGGUCUACAGAAAGACCAGUCUACAGACAGGUCUACAGAAAGACCAGUCUACAGACAGGUCUACAGAAAGACAUGUCUAGAGACAGGUCUACAGACAGACAGGUCUACAGACAGACAGGUCUACAGACAGAGCUACAGACAGGUCUACAGACG